UGGGGAAUAUUGCACAAUGGGCGCAAGCCUGAUGCAGCCAUGCCGCGUGUAUGAAGAAGGCCUUCGGGUUGUAAAGUACUUUCAGCGAGGAGGAAGGCGUUGUGGUUAAUAACCGCAGCGAUUGACGUUACUCGCAGAAGAAGCACCGGCUAACUCCGUGCCAGCAGCCGCGGUAAUACGGAGGGUGCAAGCGUUAAUCGGAAUUACUGGGCGUAAAGCGCACGCAGGCGGUCUGUCAAGUCGGAUGUGAAAUCCCCGGGCUCAACCUGGGAACUGCAUCCGAAACUGGCAGGCUAGAGUCUUGUAGAGGGGGGUAGAAUUCCAGGUGUAGCGGUGAAAUGCGUAGAGAUCUGGAGGAAUACCGGUGGCGAAGGCGGCCCCCUGGACAAAGACUGACGCUCAGGUGCGAAAGCGUGGGGAGCAAAUA
rnacentral:rRNA from 1 species